AUACGGAGGAUCCGAGCGUUAUCCGGAUUUAUUGGGUUUAAAGGGAGCGUAGGUGGACAGUUAAGUCAGUUGUGAAAGUUUGCGGCUCAACCGUAAAAUUGCAGUUGAUACUGGCUGUCUUGAGUACAGUAGAGGUGGGCGGAAUUCGUGGUGUAGCGGUGAAAUGCUUAGAUAUCACGAAGAACUCCGAUUGCGAAGGCAGCUCACUGGACUGCAACUGUCACUGAUGCUCGAAAGUGUGGGUAUCAAACAGGAUUAGAUACCCUGGUAGUCCACACAGUAAACGAUGAAUACUCGCUGUUUGCGAUAUACAGUAAGCGGCCAAGCGAAAGCAUUAAGUAUUCCACCUGGGGAGUACGCCGGCAACGGUGAAACUCAAAGGAAUUGACGGGG
rnacentral:rRNA from 1 species